rnacentral:lncRNA from 1 species
CCUUGAAGGAAUACCUUUGUCAGGAGGAAACCCCAAAUGCUCCCCAGACCAGAGAGAGGCUCUGUAGGCGCAUCGUGCCCUGCUGGCGUGGUGGCACUGAGGGAUCUGGGGGUGGGCUGCAGAAAGAUGCGAUGAGGACGGGUGGGAGCAGGCACAAACCUGGGCCACCUGCAGCUGGGUUUGAAAAGCCCCUGUGGGGGGUCACAGCUCCUGCGCUGCUUAAAUAGCUGGUAAGGUGGCCAUGGGCUUCUGAAAACCCUACCAGAACUUCAGGGGAGGAAUGAUUUAUCUUGCAGGCUCUUCUAUCUGUGAGAAUCACUGGUUAAUCGCUACCGUGGUUCAAAAUCUGUGAUAGUAUUCUGAUCCCAGAGCUCUUUAAAUGUGAUAAAGGGAAGGCCAGUGUUCUGCAGUGUCCUUCGGCGGUGCCGUCUGGUGGGGAAGGAGCUCGCAACAGCUGCAAGAACCGACCCCUGUGAGCUUUCUGCCCACGAUAACCCCAGAAAUUUCAAGCAACAGUUCUUGGAAACCAUAUGGAGAUCAGCCUGGGAGUUUUGCAAGGUAACACCCAGCAGCAGCCGUUUUCAGAGAGAAGAUACGAUUCUGACCUGCUGCUGUUAUACCUUCGGCAUUUAGUGAUAUGGGUUUGUAACUGAAAUGAAUAUCGCUGCGAACUGAUGCCUGUCCACCCACGUUGCCAGACUGUUUCUUCACAUGAAAAGGAAUGAUUCUUCAAAAGGAAAGUAUAAUUAAUAUUUCACAUACACUUUAGUUUUUUGAAUUGGCUGGUGAGGGGAGGGUGGCUAUGGACAGAGCAUGUUUCAUGUCUUUUGGAAAUAUUGUUCAGACAUAAACUGCAAUAUCAUUAUAAUAUACAAAAUAGCUUUACUGAAUUGUGCAAUUACAAUUUAAUAUAUUAAUUUACGGUGAAAUAAACCACAAUAAUAAGGGAGUGUAGAAGGUCUU